GGCGAGGCGUCACCGCUUCAUGGUAGAUAUCCCACCCACUCGCACGAAGCGCUUCGCUCCAAGCUUCCCUGUGCGAACUGCUAGGGAGUGGAACUCCUUGCCGGAGUCUGUGUUUCCUGAUGGGUAUAACCUGGGUGUCUUCAAAGCCCGAAUGAAUAGGUUGCUUAUGGGCAGACGUGCUCCAUCGUAGGCCGCAUCAUCACUUACCAUCAGGCGAGAUAGCGGCCAAACGUCGACCCAUCUAAUGUAAAAAAAAAACAAUUUUUAAUUAUGAUAUUAUAUUUAUUAUGUUAGUAAAAGAAGGCAUUAUACAUACAUAUAAUAAUUAUUACGUAAAAAAACAAGUAAUCGGCCAUAAUUAUUGAAGGAAUUAGAUAAUUAAUUAUUAAGUACCGUACCUAAUUGUAUCCUUUUUUUUAGAAAAAUUAUAAUAAUAAUAUAAAACUUGGUACUUAUACAUUAUAUGAUUAUAUAUUUGAAAAUAUUAUAUUAUGUAUAAUAAUUAUUAAUAGUUCGUAUGAGAAAAUUGUAAAUUUUGAUGGGAUGUAGGAAUUCGCCUUUUUAUUUGAGAAAGAAACUGAGAAACCUUGUAUGUAGAAACAAAUAAACAUGUAAGUUUAUUAUAUAA